AUUUUAAUGUUCGUUUCAAAGAUGUAGGUAGCAAUUAGGGAAGCAAUGGUAAUGUAUCAUUGAAUCGUCAAUGUGAAUUAUCAUCGCCGCAGCAUCGUUAUGAUUUGAGUAUGGGUUCAGAUAAAUUAUCUUCACUAUCACGAUCUGAGGGAAGAUACAUAUCCGAUGAAUGGACAUUCAACGUUAGAUUCGCGAGACGGCAACGAAUCAACAAAGAGAAAAUUGAGACGCAACAGUUUUUUUGCUAUCAAAUCACUGAAUGAAAUAAAUAAAUAAAAACAUCGAAAUUGUUUUUCUUUUUAGUUAUCGCCAAACGAAAGAUCAUACUUCAUGGCAAGAGAAAUAUUGAUGACUGAAUGAACCUAUAAAAAGGAUUUGGACAUUUUGAAUACAUGGUUCUAAAAUGAAUUGCCACCCGAGAAUGUAGAAUCUAUUAAGCCACUAUUCCAGUGUAUCAAAUCGAUGGCUCAGCGUCAUGUUCUCGGAUGUACUUUUAUACGGUAGCAAAUCGCCAGUCACUCAACAAUUCAAAAUUCUUGGCCAUGUUCAAUUACGUUUACCGAUUACUGAAAAUGCAGAACACAACACAUUCAUCUUUUAUGGUGGACAAAAGUCAAUAACCUCGAGCGCUGGAACGACUGCUGAAAAAAACAUUGUGGUUGGCUAAAAGCAUCGACUGAAAUCUAAUCAAAGCCACACGUUCAACUCAAUUGCAGUUCAUCUGAACAAGGAUUGGAAUCAUGUGGUGCACUAUUAUUAAAUAAAUCUCCGACCGAAACAUCAACAGCAGCAGUAAUCCAAUUCAUAUGUGUUGGCAUCGUGGAGCAACGGUUGGCUUGAAAGAUUUCCUCAUUUCAUUGGAGAGUUUAAUUUUUGAAGCACAAUGAUUUUGUCUAUGUGAAACGAAAAUAACUUACGAUGUGUUAAUACGAACGAUGGAAACGGUGAGCAGCGACUCGAUAAUUAGUUCAACGCAUGGCGAUGUUCUGAAAGAUCUACACGAUAAAUUGAUGGAACGAAGACAAGUGUUCUUGGAACGUUCGACUGAACUGUCCCGCAAACAGGCGUGGUAUCGUUCUGUGGCGUUGGGUAAAUUUUGGCGAAAUUUGUUGUGUUGGAUGUUGAACGCCG